rnacentral:lncRNA from 1 species
UUAAAAAAAAUUGUUAAUAAAGAAUAUGAACCCCUUAAAAAAUUGUUAAUAAAGGCUAAAUUACAGAAAAUUUUCUGUAAAUAUCCGUUUUUUCAUUUUCCCUCCCUGCCAUUCAAAAAUCUAUACUUUACUUUUUUAAAAAAUAAAAAAAAUUUUACAAAGAGUACGCUGUGACAAAAUGACCAAAUUACUCAUCAUCUUUUACGAAGUGGGAAUGGACAGAGAGAUAGGUGAGGGCAAGGGUGAGGCAGCGGAGACGGGCGAGGGCGUGUGUGUGGGUAUGGAGAGAGAGAGAUGGACCAGGGCGAAACGGCGCGGCUGAGGACGAGAAAGGAGGGAGGUUUCAAAGGUAUUUUAGGUAUAAAAAAUAGGAUAUAAACAGAACCAUAACGGAAUAUUGACGGUAGGAGUCAAAGUAAAUAAUUUUUAUUUUUUAAGAAAGCAAAAUAUAGAUUUUUAAAUGACAGAAAGGGAAAAUAAAAAAAUGAAUAUUGAUUGAGAAAUUUUUCGUAAUUUAGCCUUUUAUAAAAGUUUAUUACUUGGUGU